UACGAAGGGAGCUAGCGUUGUUCGGAAUCACUGGGCGUAAAGCGCACGUAGGCGGAUUUGUUAGUCAGGGGUGAAAUCCCGGGGCUCAACCUCGGAACUGCCUUUGAUACUGCAAAUCUCGAGUCCGAAAGAGGUGAGUGGAAUUCCUAGUGUAGAGGUGAAAUUCGUAGAUAUUAGGAAGAACACCAGUGGCGAAGGCGGCUCACUGGUCCGGUACUGACGCUGAGGUGCGAAAGCGUGGGGAGCAAACAGG
rnacentral:rRNA from 1 species